UGCUAUUAGAUGAGCCUAUAUUAGAUUAGCUAGUUGGUGGAGUAAUAGCCUACCAAGGCAAUGAUCUAUAGCUGAUCUGAGAGGAUGAUCAGCCACACUGGAACUGAGAUACGGUCCAGACUCCUACGGGAGGCAGCAGUGGGGAAUAUUGGACAAUGGGCGAAAGCCUGAUCCAGCCAUGCCGCAUGAGUGAAGAAGGCCUUUGGGUUGUAAAGCUCUUUUAGUGAGGAAGAUAAUGACGGUACUCACAGAAGAAGUCCUGGCUAACUCCGUGCCAGCAGCCGCGGUAAUACGGAGAGGGCUAGCGUUAUUCGGAAUUAUUGGGCGUAAAGGGCGCGUAGGCUGAUUAAUAAGUUAAAAGUGAAAUCCCGAGGCUUAACCUUGGAAUUGCUUUUAAAACUAUUAAUCUAGAGAUUGAAAGAGGAUAGAGGAAUUCCUGAUGUAGAGGUAAAAUUCGUAAAUAUUAGGAGGAACACCAGUGGCGAAGGCGUCUAUCUGGUUCAAAUCUGACGCUGAAGCGCGAAGGCGUGGGGAGCAAACAGGAUUAGAUACCCUGGUAGUCCACGCUGUAAACGAUGAAUGUUAAAUAUGGGAAGUUUAC
rnacentral:rRNA from 1 species